rnacentral:lncRNA from 1 species
AAAGACUCCUGCUGCUUCCUACUAGACGUGAGGCUUGCACUGCUCCCGCCAUGGAGCUCAGAUCAUGCCCUGGAGAAGCAGGUGACAUCGCGGAAUUUUCCUGUUCCAGAUGCCAGAAGUCUGAAAUGAAGGUGUAAAGCAGGGUGGUUCCUUCUGGAGGCUCUGAGAGAAUCACCCCAGGCCUCUCUCCAGCUUCUGGUGCUGGUAUUCUCAGGCUUGUAGGCGCAUCACCCAUGUCUGCCUCCAUCUUCACAUGGCCUUCUCCUCUGUGUCUGCCUGAAGUCUCCCUUCAUUUCUCUUGUAAGGACAUCAGUCAUUGGAUUUAGAGCCCACCCUAAACCCAGAAUGAUCUCAUCUCAAGAUUACAUCUGCACAGACGCUAUUUCCAGAUAAGGUCACAGUCAAAGGUACCAGGGGUUAGGAUAUGAACAUAUCUUUUUGAAAGACACGAUUUAACCUACAGCAGGUGCUCAGGGCAGUUGGGUGGGGGCCUGUGCUAGGGGCCCAACAGCCAAGGCUUAAAGCCGCACUCCACACCUAGGCCUGUGACACCUCCCACAAGCUUCUUCACCUCUCAAGCCUCAACUUCUACUUCUGCAAACAGGGAACAAUAAAAGUAUCUCCCUGCCCCCACCUUGCAGGGUUUCCAGUUCCAAUGUCUACACACUCACCUGGGAGUUAUCUGAAAUUGUUGUUCACCUGCUUAAACCUUUUGAGUUUCCAGCACCCCCCAGAAGUCCCCACCCUCUAGUCCCUUAGCAAGAUACUGGCCCUGCGUGAGCUUCCCACCUUCCUUGACAGCUGCAUCUCUCAUCAUUAGGACCUGGGCAACACUGCAGAAUAUGGCAGGUCUUCCCUCAUCUCUGUGCUUUGCCUCCAUUCCCUGACUUCUCUCCCAUCCUCCUCCUGUCACCUGGCCUCUCCCCAUCCUACUGGCCUUAAAGCUCAGCUCCUGAAGCCUCCCUGAUGCUCCUCCCUUCAUAGCCCCUCCCAGCCUGGCCACGUGGGCUCGGGCAGCCCAGAGCCUGGGCCUCCUGGUCACACUCUGAGCACACAGCCCAUUUUCUCUCCAGUGCUGGCUUGUGUUUGACACCAUGCCUGACACAUUGGGGGUGCUCAGUAGACCUGUGUGAGAUGGACAGCCUCCCGUACAGAUGGACGGACAGAUGUACAGCCCCGUGGAGAUGCCCUGUGUAAGCCACUGAAGCCUCUGGCCAACAGCAGUGGGAACCUGAGACGUGUCCACAAGCAUGCAUGGGAGCUUGGAAGUGGAUCCUUCAGCCCCAGCCAAGCCUUCAGACGAUGCAGCCUCAGGGACAGUAUGACUGCAGCCUCAUGAGACCCUGAGCCAGAAACACCCCUCCAAGCCACUCCCAGAUGCCUGGCCCUCAGAACCUGGGAGCAGCUGCACUUGGGGACCACAAUAAAGAAGCUUUCUCAGACUGGUUUGAACAAAGUGGUGAAUUCUCUGCAAGGACACAGAGGUGUCUCUCAAAACCCAAGGAUGGGACAGCAGGCCUCAAGAAGAACUGGAACCUCUGUCCCUUCUGUGCUUCUUUUUACUCCUGUGUUCUCUGCUUCUUGGAGCACUUGGCAGUUGGGAAGUGGCCAUUUCAAUUCUCGUGGUCAAGAAACCAGCUCAGAAAUAACCCAACCAACACAGGUGGGGUCAGGUGUCCAUCCUGGCUCCAUUUGUCAUGGCGGGAGAUGGUGAUGAAGAGAAACAUCCAGGACCAUUGGUAGGGCACCCGAAUGAGAUUCCAGGAGAGGCCAGUUCUAAGAGAAGGGUACUAGAAAGAUACCCAUUGAAGUCAAUACCACAUGUGGCACAUCCUCCUUUCAGGUGGCAAGUGUGUAGCCAAAGCAAGGUUCAGGGUCCAUAUUUGAAAGUCAGAAACUGAAUAAACUGUUUUCUCCCACCCCGAGCACUGUGGGGAACUCUGCUCACAAAUCCACCAUCCACCAUCACCAGCCGUGCUCAUCUGACCAUUCAUGCAGGCUCACACUUGACCUGAUGUGGGUUCUGUCUCCUUUGCUUGAGAAUUGAAAGGCCUGGGAGAUGCAAAAGCUUUAGGCUCCAGCCAUCUCCCCAUGUCAGGUAGGCCUUUUGCCUAGUGUAUCCAGUUGGUAAUGCUGCAGAGAUGCAUGAAGCUGGAGUCAGAGGCCACCUGUAGUGCUGCCCUGACUUCAGACCUGAGCCCAGCCCAGCAGCAGAGAGGGGGCUGGGAGCCAGAGGAGGCCUCACAGUAACAGCACAGACAGGUGGGGGCCCACAACAGGCCACAUGUGUUCAAACUCGAGUGUGGGCAGAGGAGCAUGGGAAGCUCAGAGCCCUGAGCUCACCCCACACCCAACACGAGUGGGGUCACCCAAAAUCAGCCUGUCAGCACUGUCCCAGCAGCCAGUCGCAUGCUACAUUAACAAAUUUUGCACAGGCCAGCAAGCAGGAUCGCUCACCAGCCACCCUCCUGAACUGGCCUAUGGGGCCCCAGGAUGAUGCCAUAGCCACAAGUCUGGAGUUCCUCAAAGUACCUGGUCAGCACAACUCAGUUAAACAAUGGGCAAAAGACCUGAACAGACACUUCGCCAGAGAAGAUGUACAGAUGCAAGUAAGCAUUUGAAAAGGUGCCCCACAUCGUAUGUCGUUAGGGAAUGGUCCAAUCCAGAACACUGAUGGCACCAAAGGCUGCUGAGCAUGUGGAGCAGCAGAACUCUCAUUCACUGCUGGUGAGAAAAAUGGCGCAGCCCCAAUAGGGAACCCUAAUGCAGACUCUGGACUUCACUGGAAAUGACGUGUCAGUGUAGCUGCGUCAGUUGUAACAAAUGCACCAGUCUGGUGGGCGUGUUGAUAACCGGGGCUGCGCACGUGGGGAGAGAGGACCUGUGGGAAUGCUCUACUUUCCACUCAUUUUUGCUGUGAACUUAAAACUGCUCUUACAAAAUAACAUUGUUUGUUGUUGUUGUUGUUGUUGUUGUUGUUGUUGUUUUUAAGUAUCUAGUCAGCUCCACACAUGACCCGGGCAGAGUGGGAAGUUGUAGAGUGCCCCAAGGAGAGAAAUGGAACCAGGUCUCAUGUGGGGCCAAGUGUGGGCUCCCUGUCCUCUCAGCUGGUCCCAGGAACUGAAGGGAAAUUUAGACAACUUGGAGAAAGACACUCUAGGGCUCGGGGCAAAGGGUGGUGUUGAUGAGAACCAUAUUUUUUUAUUGCUGGUGUAAGCACUUGUAUUUUUCUGAUUUUCCACUGGUUCGAUAAUAAGGGUAAAAGACAAUAAAGCAUACUUUUUAAGCUUUUGUUUAGAAGUUUUUUUUCCAAUAAAACUUCCCCAAAA